rnacentral:rRNA from 1 species
AUUGAACGCUGGCGGCAUGCCUUACACAUGCAAGUCGAACGGCAGCACGGGUGCUUGCACCUGGUGGCGAGUGGCGAACGGGUGAGUAAAGCAUCGGAACGUACCAUUGAGUGGGGGAUAACGUAGCGAAAGUUACGCUAAUACCGCAUAUUCUCUCCGGAGGAAAGCAGGGGAUCGUAAGACCUUGCGCUCUUUGAGCGGCCGAUGUCGGAUUAGCUAGUUGGUGGGGUAAAGGCCCACCAAGGCGACGAUCCGUAGCUGGUCUGAGAGGAUGAUCAGCCACACUGGGACUGAGACACGGCCCAGACUCCUACGGGAGGCAGCAGUGGGGAAUUUUGGACAAUGGGGGCAACCCUGAUCCAGCCAUGCCGCGUGAGUGAAGAAGGCCUUCGGGUUGUAAAGCUCUUUCGCGAGGGAAGAAAACGUGCAGGUUAAUACCCUGUAUGGAUGACGGUACCUUGAUAAGGAGCACCGGCUAACUACGUGCCAGCCGCCGCCGUAAGAC